AUUGAACGCUGGCGGAAUGCUUUACACAUGCAAGUCGAACGGCAGCACGGGGGCAGCCCUGGUGGCGAGUGGCGAACGGGUGAGUAAUACAUCGGAACGUGCCCGGUCGUGGGGGAUAACGUAGCGAAAGUUACGCUAAUACCGCAUACGAUCUGAGGAUGAAAGCGGGGGACCUUCGGGCCUCGCGCGAUCGGAGCGGCCGAUGUCAGAUUAGGUAGUUGGUGGGGUAAAGGCCUACCAAGCCGACGAUCUGUAGCUGGUCUGAGAGGACGACCAGCCACACUGGGACUGAGACACGGCCCAGACUCCUACGGGAGGCAGCAGUGGGGAAUUUUGGACAAUGGGCGCAAGCCUGAUCCAGCCAUUCCGCGUGCAGGACGAAGGCCUUCGGGUUGUAAACUGCUUUUGUACGGAACGAAAAGGCUCUGGCUAAUACCUGGGGCUCAUGACGGUACCGUAAGAAUAAGCACAGGCUAACUACGUG
rnacentral:rRNA from 1 species